AUAGAUCGAUUGAGAAAUCAAGUCAACGCCAAUGCUCAGACUAAUCAUUGAAGGUGGCAAUGGCUUCUAUUAAGAAUCUUUGAGCUGAAAACGAGCUGAUAGAUUGAGGGAGGGCGGCAGAAAUGGCAGAAGUGGUGGUGAAUUUGCUGAUAGAGAAUUUGACCCAGCUUCUAAAAGAGAACAUCAAGCUCAUCUUCGGCCUCAAGGACGACGUCGAGCAGCUUCUAGAUGACCUGGACGACUUCAAGGCCUUCCUCAGAGAAGCCGGAAAGUCCCGCUACGAAAACGACAUCCUCAAGCGCCUCAUCACCAAGAUCCGGGUGGUGGUCACUAAGGCCGAGGAUCUCAUCGACCAAUAUGUGGUGGCCGCCAAAUCCCACUACGACAGGAAAUGGACACGCUUUCUGGACGUCGAAUACCCGCUUCGUAAACGGGAACUCGCCGAAGAGAUUCAGAAAGUUCGGGUUAGCGUCAACGAGAUCCGACAGGAUCCGGAUUAUGCCCGUAAUGCUCUCCAAGAGGAAGCGUUACCCAACAUAGGAGCCAGGCAGAAUCAGGUUCCUAAUGUGGAGGAAGAGCAUGUGGUGGGGUUUGAUGGCGAGGCUAAUGCUAUAAUCCAACGUCUGGUUGAUGGAUCAAAAGGGUUUGAAGUUAUCUCGAUUGUGGGUAUGCCCGGACUUGGGAAAACCACUUUGGCCAACAAGGUGUUCAAGGAUGAAAGAGUUGAAAAUUACUUCAUGAAUCGUGCCUGGAUUUAUGUUUCUGGAGUGUACAAAAGAAGGGAUGUUUUUGUAAGAAUCUUGAAGGAGCUAACCAAGCAGUACAGGAGCUACGUUGAUGAAAUGAGUGAUGGAGAUUUAGCAUUGGAAAUAAAAAAGUUUUUGGGGUCUGCAAAAUAUUUGAUUGUCCUAGAUGAUGUUUGGAAAGUAGAACACUGGAAUGAGCUCAAGAUUGCAUUCCCACCCAACAAAGGGAGCAGGGUAUUGGUUUCUACACGGUACAAUGAUGUGGCUAUAGAAGCUGAUUCUAAGGGCGACCCUCAUAACUUAAAGUUUUUGAACGAGGAAGAAAGCUGGGAACUACUUCAGAAGAAGCUCUUCCAAAAGAAAAUAUGUCCUGAUGAGUUAAAAAGGCCUGGGAAAAUUAUUGCUAAAAAUUGCAAUGGACUACCAUUAGUAAUGGUGACUAUUGCUGGUGUUCUCUUACAUAAAGCAGAAAUAUCUGCUGAAUGGGACAGGGUAGCUGAAAGCAUGGGUGACUUCCUGAGAAUGAAACUAGAGAGUUACAAGGAUCUAAUACAAAUGAGUUAUGACCAAUUGCCUUAUGACCUGAAGAGUUGCUUCCUAUAUUUCGGGGCUUUUCCUCAAGCAAAUGAGAUCCCAGCUGGAAAACUCAUUAGGUUGUGGAUUGCUGAGGGGUUUGUUAUUGAGGAUGAGAAACAAUUAUUAAGCCUGGAGGACAUAGCUCAUGAAAAGUUGAGUGAUCUUGUCAAUAGGAAUUUGGUGAUGGCUAUGCAAAGAAAGUCGAAUGGACAAAUCAAAACGUGUCGCAUUCAUGACAUGUUGCAUGAGUUCUGCAAGAGUGAGGCCAAAGAGGAGAAUCUAUUUGAAGAAAUCAACAUGAGGAGGCAACUGCAUAAAAUUCGCCGCCUUAGUGUCAGGUGCAAUGUCUCGGAGAUCCUCUAUUCAGGUCUUGCUGCUGAACAUGUCCGCUCUUUGUUAUGCUUCUCCUCAAAUGAACAUGAACUGCCUGCAGUAAAACUUGCAAUCAUUCGUGAAGCAUUUCCACUGCUAAGGGUGUUACACACUGCACCAGAUGAAUCCAUCAUCUUCACACGUUUUCCUAGAGACAUGACUAAGUUGUUCCAUUUAAGGUACAUUGCAAUAUCAACUACCCUCAAGAUCCUUCCUCAAGCCAUUGAUAGUCUGUGGAACAUGCAAACUCUUAUAGUUAGGACACAGCAAAGCACCCUUGAUAUCAAAGGAGACAUAUGGCAAAUGACACGAUUGAGGCACUUGCAAACAAAUUCAUCUGCUCAAUUGCCUCCACCUUCUUCCUCGAAGACCAAGAAAAAUCCUUUUCCAAAUAGAAACUUGCAAACACUUUCAAGGAUUUCACCUGAAAGCUGCACAGCAGCUUCAUUGGUCAAAGCUCCAGAUUUGAAAAACUUGGGUAUACAGGGAAAUUUGGUUAAGCUUUUUGAAACCAACAAGGAUACUGGGUCUAGUUUGUUCAAAAACCUCAGAGAAUUGCACUUGUUGGAGAAAUUGAAGCUGCUGAAUCAUGGUGGGGAGUUGCAAUGCCUCCCUCAAAAGUAUGAAUUUCCACAAAAGAUUAGGAGGCUAACCUUGUCUGGAACACAGCUCAAAUGGAGUGAAUUAUCUGUAUUGGGAUCACUGGAGUACCUUGAAAUUCUCAAAUUGGUAGAAAAUGCAUUCAAAGGAGAUAAGUGGGAGCCAUCUGAAGGUGACUUUCCUCGUCUCCAAUUUUUGAGAAUUGAGAGGACAGAUUUGAAGACAUGGAAGGCUUCUAGCCUCCACUUCCCAUUACUAAAGAGACUCAUUCUUAGACAAUGCCUUAAUCUGGAGGAAGUCCCACCUAGCCUGGCGGACAUAGACAAUCUUCAGGAGAUGGAGCUGAACCUUACCAACUCAAAUGCUGCACUGUCGGCCUGGAACAUUUUACAGAUAAAACAAGGGAAAGAGAAGGAAGUAAAGGAGAAAGGAGGAACCCCCCGGAGAUUCAAGCUCAGUAUCUAUCCUCCUGAUGAGCUCAAACUGAUACAGCAAAUUUAAAAAUGCCAUGGUGUCAUCUAGAUGAUCUUUUGAGUUGUGCAGGUGGUGUCAUCUAGAUGAUCUUUUGAGUUGUGCAGGUGAACCGUAUUGGUCCGCGUCUAAGCGUGGGUUUGUGAAGGGCAUGAAGUGAGGAUCUUUGUAUGCAGAUGAGAUGGUAGCAUUCUGGAAUGGUCUACCCAAUCAUUGUUUUGGUAAAAUUCUGUGUGCUAUGUUUGGUGUGGUGAGAGCUUAUGUUUUUGGAAAUUCAAUUUGUUAUUUGUGGUGGUUGUUAUUCAUUGGGGAUUUGGAACACAUAUUUGAACUAUGGUCAAGAUGAUUGCACUUUGUGUUUUUUUUUUUUUUUUUGAAGGUGCUUGCACUUUGUGUUAUU